GAUCUUUUUAAGUCUCUGAUGUAGUGGGCUUUACAGGGUUAACAGAAAUAAAUUAGUGCUUCUUUCAUAGACACAGAUGAGCUCCUUAUGGAGACUUUAUCAUGUAAAAUCUACUUUUUGAGUAUAAUAUCAUGUUAAUUCCUCUCCAAAAACAGCCCCAAAGCAGUAUUUUGAUCUAUUCAAGCAUUUCUGAGGAUUCUUCUAAAACCUGUUCUCUGAGUACCAGCCCCCCCAAUCCAUUAAAAUGAGCGGGCUGUCAUACAUAUGCAGAAAUGGAGCUGCGAAAAUAACUAACUUUAUAUUUUCAAAAAUCGUUCUUAAGUGAGCCAAAGGUAACAUAUUGUCAUAUAUAUAUGCAUGUAGGCUUAAUAAUUGCAUGGCAUACAUGCCCCUUUAAAUCUGUUGUCCCCUCUGUCUCUCUUUAGAAGUGCAUCCCUCCUGAGCUUGUUUAGGAGUGGGGGCACAGGUUUUCUAAUAUCACCCAAUGGUGACAUCAUAACCUGUGUCCACGUGGUGAAAGGGAACCACAGGAUUCAGGUGGAGCUGAAGAAUGGGGUCCCUGACCCCUGUAGUAGGGGGUGUCAAAGAUCUGCUCAAAUCUGCAUUGACUGACACAUCACCUGACCUCAUCUUAACCCUAACCUCCACCAAACCCCCCCCCCCCCCCAUCCCAUCCAUAGCAUAACCUCCACCCAUCCCUGACCUGAAACUAAUCCUAACCCCAACCCCAACCCAAGUGACCCCCCCACCCCUAAUCCUAGUUAGGUUAUGUGUAUAUUUGUGUAUGUUUGUAUGUUCUAAAGAAUGUUGUACAUUUUUAUCACAUGUAUUAAACUGCCCUGCUAUAAGUGUUUGUGUGUAUAAAUGUGUUGCUGUUUCUCAUAGUUCCAUCAAAUGUCUAAAUGUGUAAAAUCAGAAAAAGUUAAUAAAGGUUUUAUUGUUUCA